rnacentral:rRNA from 1 species
GACGAACGCUGGCGGCGUGACUAAUACAUGCAAGUCGAGCGAAGCGGCGGAUGGGUGAGUAACGCGUGGGUAAUAUGCCCUUAAGUCUGGGAUACCAUUUGGAAACAGAUGAUAAUACCGGAUAAUAAAGGAAGAACCUGCGAUUCAUUAGCUAGUUGGUAAGGUAACGGCUUACCAAGGCGAUGAUGAAUAGCCGAGUUGAGAGACUGAUCGGCCACAUUGGUACUGAGACCCGCCCCAAACUCCUACGGGAGUCAGCAGUAGGGAAUCUUCCACAAUGGACGAAAGUCUGAUGGAGCAACGCCGCGUGAGUGAAGAAGGGUUUCGGAUCGUAAAGCUCUGUUGUUGGUGAAGCGGUAAUCAACCAGAAAGUCACGGCUAACUACGUGCCAGCAGCCGCGGUAAUAC